rnacentral:rRNA from 1 species
GACGAACGCUGGCGGCGUGCUUAACACAUGCAAGUCGAACGGAAAGGCCCUGCUUUUGUGGGGUGCUCGAGUGGCGAACGGGUGAGUAACACGUGAGUAACCUGCCCUUGACUUUGGGAUAACUUCAGGAAACUGGGGCUAAUACCGGAUAGGAGCUCCUGCUGCAUGGUGGGGGUUGGAAAGUUUCGGCGGUUGGGGAUGGACUCGCGGCUUAUCAGCUUGUUGGUGGGGUAGUGGCUUACCAAGGCUUUGACGGGUAGCCGGCCUGAGAGGGUGACCGGCCACAUUGGGACUGAGAUACGGCCCAGAGUCCUACGGGAGGCAGCAGUGGGGAAUAUUGCACAAUGGGCGGAAGCCUGAUGCAGCAACGCCGCGUGCGGGAUGACAGCCUUCGGGUUGUAAACCGCUUUCGCCUGUGACGAAGCGUGAGUGACGGUAAUGGGUAAAGAAGCACCGGCUAACUACGUG